rnacentral:piRNA from 1 species
UCUGCUCGAUAGAGAUACAUA